CCUACGGGGGGCACCAGUGGGGAAUAUUGCACAAUGGGCGCAAGCCUGAUGCAGCCAUGCCGCGUGUAUGAAGAAGGCCUUCGGGUUGUAAAGUACUUUCAGCGAGGAGGAAGGCAUUAAGGUUAAUAACCUUAGUGAUUGACGUUACUCGCAGAAGAAGCACCGGCUAACUCCGUGCCAGCAGCCGCGGUAAUACGGAGGGUGCAAGCGUUAAUCGGAAUUACUGGGCGUAAAGCGCACGCAGGCGGUCUUUUAAGUCGGAUGUGAAAUCCCCGGGCUCAACCUGGGAACUGCAUUUGAAACUGGCAGGCUUGAGUCUUGUAGAGGGGGGUAGAAUUCCAGGUGUAGCGGUGAAAUGCGUAGAGAUCUGGAGGAAUACCGGUGGCGAAGGCGGCCCCCUGGACAAAGGCUGACGCUCAGGUGCGAAAGCGUGGGGAGCAAACAGGAUUAGAUACCCGGGUAGUC
rnacentral:rRNA from 1 species